rnacentral:rRNA from 1 species
AUGAACGCUGGCGGCGUGCCUCAUACAUGCAAGUCGCGCGAACGGACGAGAAGCUUGCUUCUCUGAUGUUAGCGGCGGACGGGUGAGUAACACGUGGAUAACCUACCUAUAAGACUGGGAUAACUUCGGGAAACCGGAGCUAAUACCGGAUGAUAUUUUGAACCGCAUGGUUCAAAAGUGAAAGACGGUCUUGCUGUCACUUAUAGAUGGAUCCGCGCUGCAUUAGCUAGUUGGUAAGGUAACGGCUUACCAAGGCAACGAUGCAUAGCCGACCUGAGAGGGUGAUCGGACACACUGGAACUGAGACACGGUCCAGACUCCUACGGGAGGCAGCAGUAGGGAAUCUUCCGCAAUGGGCGAAAGCCUGACGGAGCAACGCCGCGUGAGUGAUGAAGGUCUUCGGAUCGUAAAACUCUGUUAUUAGGGAAGAACAUAUGUGUAAGUAACUGUGCACAUCUUGACGGUACCUAAUCAGAAAGCCACGGCUAACUACGUG